GAUGAACGCUAGCUACAGGCUUAACACAUGCAAGUCGAGGGGAAACGAUAGAGAAAGCUUGCUUUUUCUAGGCGUCGACCGGCGCACGGGUGAGUAACGCGUAUCCAACCUGCCCACCACUUGGGGAUAACCUUGCGAAAGUAAGACUAAUACCCAAUGAUAUCUCAAGAAGACAUCUGAAUGAGAUUAAAGAUUUAUCGGUGAUGGAUGGGGAUGCGUCUGAUUAGCUUGUUGGCGGGGUAACGGCCCACCAAGGCGACGAUCAGUAGGGGUUCUGAGAGGAAGGUCCCCCACAUUGGAACUGAGACACGGGCCAAACUCCUACGGGAGGCAGCAGUGAGGAAUAUUGGUCAAUGGGCGAGAGCUUGAACCAGCCAAGUAGCGUGCAGGAUGACGGCCCUAUGGGUUGUAAACUGCUUUUAUAAGGGAAUAAAGUGAGCCUCGUGAGGCUUUUUGCAUGUACCUUAUGAAUAAGGACCGGCUAAUUCCGUGCCAGCAGCCGCGGUAA
rnacentral:rRNA from 1 species